ensembl:lncRNA
GGUAUAUAUAGCGGUGCUCACGGGCUCUGGAGCAGACCACUGGGAGGCCUCAAAAUGACUAAGCGGACUGGGAAGCCCCAAGGCUCCAGAGUAGUUAGGAAACACCUGCCUCCUGUUACCCGGGGCAAAAGGAUGAAGACCUCCUCUCAAUUGAGGCCCAAAACAAAUGUCAAGGUGGCCAAGGCAAGUGCGAGAGUGAAUAAUCACCUACAGGCAAAGCUGACCAAGAAAACUUCUCAGAAACCACCCACCACGAGGAACCUUAGAAAAAUCGGAGGCUCAAAGCUCUGUAGCCAGGGUUCCAAGGUGAAUGAAGAGCUGAGUCAGAAUGGACCAGAGGAGGUCCCAGAGAGUGUGGAGAUGCCUGUCAUUCCAGUGGGACCGGUGGGCAGCCAGUGACUUGAAGGCAUGGCUAGAGACCUCAGAAAUCUUUGGGGGUCUUGCCACUGAGUACUGGCCAACAGUACAGACAUUGACUAUUAUACCAACUGCAUACAUUAAGAAUGAAAAUAAAAUCAACCUGAU